AUAUUGAUUGAAUGUAUAUUUUUACAUUGUCCCUCGGUCCAUAUUUAUACCCUGAUCCGAAGAAACAUAACUAGACAUGACUAGAACACCGAGUCCAUAUCUAAGGAAAAACAUGAUUCUUACAUGAAUCAUACUCUAACAAAUACGAAAAGGAAAACGACACCUAUCUACUUCCUUCCCCGCCUUAAUUACGAUGAAACUUUCAUCGACUUCCGCUCCAUCGACAUGCUUUCCAUCAUCAUAAGCUUCAUCGGCAGUAGUCUUCAGAUCUUCCUCCAUCGACAUCGGCAAUGACAUCCCCGAUCUUGUCAGCAACGCCUCUGAGUCUAAGUCAAACGACAACCUUUCCAUCGGUCAUCACCACUCAUCGGCAACAAUCCUCACAGGCUGAUCCUCAUCGGCACCCUUUUACCAGCGUAACAAUAACUUUCCUUCUGCCGAUUAGCCCACUCUGAUCAUUUUGACACAUGCCAAAAAUGGUGUUAACAGACAGAUAAAAACAACCGCCUCCAUUAAAACUUUAAUAGAGGCGGGUGACAUAACACAACUGCCAUGGUUAAAACAUUAAU
rnacentral:lncRNA from 1 species